rnacentral:SRP_RNA from 1 species
GCUGGGUGUAGUGGCACAUGCUUGUAAUCACUACUACAAGGGAGGCUGGGGCUGAUGGAUUGCUUGAGCUCAGGAGUUCUGAGCUCCAAUGGGCUAAGCUGAGUGAGUGUCUACACUACAAUAUGAGGAACCUUCAGGAUUAGGAGGCCAAUAGGCUUCCUAAGGAGGACUGAACUAGCCCAGGUCAGAAACAGCAGAUCAAAACUCCUGUGUCAAUUUGAGUGGGACCUGGCCCAUGAGUAGACCCUAUACUUCCAGCCUGGGUGAUAUAGGCAGAUAGUCUUUU